rnacentral:rRNA from 1 species
AUACGGAGGGUGCAAGCGUUACUCGGAAUCACUGGGCGUAAAGCGCGCGCAGGCGGCUAUUUAAGUUGGAUGUGAAAGCCUAUGGCUCAACCAUAGAACUGCAUCCAAAACUAUUUAGCUAGAGUGUGGGAGAGGAAGAUGGAAUUAGUUGUGUAGGGGUAAAAUCCGUAGAGAUAACUAGGAAUACCAAAAGCGAAGGCAAUCUUCUGGAACACUACUGACGCUGAGGCGCGAAAGCGUGGGUAGCGAACAGGAUUAGAAACCCUAGUAGUCC